UUGGAGGGCAAGUCUGGUGCCAGCAGCCGCGGUAAUUCCAGCUCCAAUAGCGUAUAUUAAAGUUGUUGCAGUUAAAAAGCUCGUAGUUGAAUUUCGGGAUUGACGUGAUGGUCAUGCCUUAAGGGGUAUGAACUGUCACUGUUGAUUUCUCACCUUCUGGAGAAACUUGAUGUCCUUUAUUGGGUGUCUUGCGGAUCCAGGACCUUUACCUUGAAAAAAUUAGAGUGUUUAAAGCAGGCAUUUUUGCUCGAAUACAUUAGCAUGGAAUAAUAGAAUAGGACGGCAUGGUUCUAUCUUGUUGGUUUCUAGGAUCACCGUAAUGAUUAAUAGGGAUAGUUGGGGGCAUUAGUAUUCAAUUGUCGGAGGUGAAAUUCUUGGAUUUAUUGAAGACUAACUACCGCGAAAGCAUUUGCCAAGGAUGUUUUCAUUAAUCAAGAACGAAAGUUAGGGGAUCGAAGACGAUCAGAUACCGUCGUAGUCUUAACCAUAAACUAUGCCGACUAGGAAUCAGACGAUGUUAAUUUUUUAAUGACUCGUUUGGCACCUUACGGGAAACCAAAGUGUUUGGGUUC
rnacentral:rRNA from 1 species